CGUGCACUCUGUCUUGCAUAAGAAUUAGGGAUGGUUACUCUUGUUGCUGUCCGGUCUGGUCGGGGAUGGCAGGCCGUCGUCCGCCUGGGAGGUCGUGAGCUCGAGGCAACCCCGGGUAGACCGGGCAGGUUGUCGGAGGCUCCGACGCGGUCCUCUGCGGCGCACGACUUGCAGCUUGGGAGUGUCCUGGCAGUAGUCGGCGACCUGGAGGAGGAGGCGGAAGGAGGAGCGGUAGCAGGACGUGUUAGCAGGUGCAGCUCUUCUAGGCGUUCUUGGAUUCUAGGCACUGCUUUCAUCGUUGGUUCUGGUCACUUGGAAGUUCUAUAAUAUGGGCUUUCCUGCUUUCGUUUUUCCUUGCCUUGGGGUGGCGACGAGAAGAGCACGGAAAGAGCCGGUGAGGGAACCACACCGCACACGGACGGCGGGGUGAGAGGCCGGCGCCGAGUUCGCGUUAAAGCUCUCGCCGGAUGUGCUUCUCUUCUACUUUCUCCAGUCCUUCACACCCGACAUGUUCACCUUGACAGUCCGUCCUCGCCGUCGUCGACUAUGCAUGCUCUUUUGUUUGCCAGCGAAGGACGAUGUGCAGCCGCUGCCACAGUGGGUACAUCGGCCGUGGCGCUGCCGACUCCCCGGGCGGGUUCAUUGCGAUCUCCUGGAGUCUGGACAGUCGACUGCCUCCGGGUCGUUCCACGCGGGCGGAGCGAGAGCGACAGACAGCUACUGCGGCAACGCAGAGGUCCAAAGGAAAAGCUGAAGUCGGUGCUGAGCGAUGCCGUCCAGGUCGGUGGCCGUGCGGCCCGCUGGUUGCCACACCGUUGACUCCAGCGGCAGCGGCGGCUCUCGCAACGGAAUGCUCACCCUCCUCAGUGGCGAGGAUGAGGCUAUCGUUGCAUGCCUCGUGCCGCUUUUUGCCCACUUCGGUCGUCCUAUCUACACGGGCCGGCCCGACAGCGGCGAGCAGUAAAAUCGCCAGCGCCGUGUGACGCCUCGACGCCUGCGUGGUAGAUCCCGGGCUGCCGGGCGCGGACGGUGGCGCGUUCUGCCCUUACUUGCGGCAGCUCCUAUGUAUGCCGGCGUGCAGGAAGAAGAGGGUGGAGGACUGGAGGGCAUGCCCUCCAAGAACCUGAUGGUUGAGUGCCGGCGUCGUAAGCGCCUCAACAACCGUGAACCGUCUCUCCAGGCUACCUCCGUCGUGCCCAGGAUCAUCAAGAUUGACAGAGCGUCGAUCCUGGAGACGCGAUCGACUACAUGAAAGAGCUGCUGGAGAGGAUGUGGCGACUGCAGGAGGAGAGGAGGACGCGCAUCCGCAGCCAGCGUGUUCCAGGAGCUGAACCCGACGAGAUAUAUAUGGCCAGGAACAUCCCCGAGAUGAGUAAUCUAGGCGACUAGGCAUCCACUGUCGUCAGCGGAGAGCUGGGACAUUCCUGCCGUAGAGCUUCAAAAAAUGGUGAUAGCAAGAGAAAAGUUGGCUGGUGGUUGCAGACUUGCAGUUCGAGGUGGAGCGCAAGGACGAGGGCCGCGGCCACGGCAACACCUGGGGUGGAGAUCUACUGCUCCGUUCUCUUGCCUACUUUCUUGACCCUCUCUUUACAGAUGCCUAAUUCAUUAUUGUUUCUUCGGUCUA